rnacentral:rRNA from 1 species
CCUACGGGGGGCAGCAGUGGGGAAUAUUGCACAAUGGGCGCAAGCCUGAUGCAGCCAUGCCGCGUGUGUGAAGAAGGCCUUCGGGUUGUAAAGCACUUUCAGCGGGGAGGAAGGCGGUGAGGUUAAUAACCUCAUCGAUUGACGUUACCCGCAGAAGAAGCACCGGCUAACUCCGUGCCAGCAGCCGCGGUAAUACGGAGGGUGCAAGCGUUAAUCGGAAUUACUGGGCGUAAAGCGCACGCAGGCGGUCUGUCAAGUCGGAUGUGAAAUCCCCGGGCUCAACCUGGGAACUGCAUUCGAAACGGGCAGGCUAGAGUCUUGUAGAGGGGGGUAGAAUUCCAGGUGUAGCGGUGAAAUGCGGAGAGAUCUGGAGGAAUACCGGUGGCGAAGGCGGCCCCCUGGACAAAGACUGACGCUCAGGUGCGAAAGCGUGGGGAGCAAACAGGAUUAGAUACCCGGGUAGUC